rnacentral:lncRNA from 1 species
CCCAUUAUGUCCUAUUAUGAUUGAAUUUACUCAACGUUUAAUCACUUAAAACUUACCUCGGAAGUGGUCGACGACUAAAUAUCCACGGCUAUUCGUUUACUUUCUCUUUAUCCAAAAUUGCCCCUCUAUGCUCUUGAGCUUAAUUAACAAAAUUUAAACUAUUUUAAUCACCUUGUUAUAUCAUUAAAAACAACAAGGUAAAUCUUCUCAAUGAAAC